ACGACACGACCGUGCAACCGAUGCGGCUGCUCAGAGCGCGGUCUCUUGUGUAUCGUCCGUCCCCACCGUGCACGUUUCCAGUCUUGAGGCAGCCGCCGUGCGAUACACAUGAGUGUGCCAUCAUUUCCUCCCGGACACUGAGGAGUCUGACAAAAAGUCCCCCUAAAAAAGAAACAAAAAAACGGUGGUGUUGAAGAAAGAACGAAAGAAGAACGAACGAAGGGAAAAAACAAAGGGACCCCACGGGAUAAGAGUAGGAAAAAACGAGCAAGAAGAGCAUCUGGGGUUGCCUCUGUGUGUUGUAGAACGAUCCAUUUGUGCGUGAGAAACUUCCCUCCUCCUGACCCUCCUUUAAUAAUCUGCACACAUUGAACAUACCGGCGGGGACGCCAUUUUUUCCCGCGUGCAGCCGGCUUUUUUUGUGUGCGUUGUACGUAACAUAUUGCUGCUCACUGUUGGGCCCCUUCAAGGGACUAACGCAUCCGUGAACGGUGGUGCAGUGCGGUGCAGUUUUUUCUUGGGCGCGACACAGUUGCGUGCGUGAAGCAUUUACAAAGCUAUAGGCAGGCAGGCAGCGAGAGAGCAAAAGAGCUCUGAUUGAGUGCAAACACACUGCGAAGGAGGAGAAGGUGGACAAAGUGUUGGUGUGGCGAAGAUGCUUGAAAUGUCAUCGCUUUUUGGUGAUUUGAGUGAUGGUGUGGUGGAUACAUCGAGUAAUCUUGAGGAUCAGAGAGCCCUGCAGUUGGCCUUUGAACUCUCAAUGCUGGGGCUAUCGGAAUCCUUUGCAGCAGCCCCCGAUAGCACAACUAUACCCCAGGCAUCACCGUCACCGCCUGCAAAUGCCUUUGCGGCUGCCUUCCAACUUCCGCCGCCAGGACUCGAUGAGCGCUUCAAGAAGUCUCAGAAUAUGACUGAAUGUGUCCCUGUACCAAGUUCUGAGCACGUGGCGGAAAUUGUGGGAAGACAAGGAUGCAAAAUUAAGGCAUUACGCGCCAAAACGAAUACGUACAUUAAGACCCCGGUGCGCGGGGAGGAGCCCGUAUUUGUGGUGACGGGACGCAAGGAGGACGUUGCCAAGGCGAAGCGUGAAAUUCUCUCGGCGGCGGAACAUUUCAGCCUCAUUAGGGCAUCGCGAAAGCCCACAAUUGUCGGUGGGGCAAAGGCGCCCCUUGGGCCAGCUAUCAACAUCCCCGGGCACGUAACAAUCCAGGUGAGAGUCCCCUAUCGCGUUGUGGGUCUCGUGGUGGGUCCUAAAGGUGCCACAAUUAAGCACAUUCAGCAGCAAACGCACACGUACAUUGUCACCCCGUCGCGUGACAAGGAGCCCGUGUUUGAGGUCACGGGCCUCCCGGAUAGUGUUCAGGCGGCACGGCAUCAAAUUGAGGCACACAUUGCCCUGCGCACGGGUCAGACGAGCGGUAGUCUGAGUGGUCUGGGGCAACUUCUUGGCGACGAUACGGCAUCUCCGGAGCUUCUGGCGUCGCUGUACAAGAAUGGUUUGGGCUCACUGUUUGGGUAUCUCGACGGGCAGGGUCAGACAGUGGAUACGAGCACGUCGAAUUCAUCAGCAGCCUCAACAGCGAGCUCCAAGAGUGGCCAAAUGACACGACCUGAGCUCAUAAAUAUCUGGAAGAAUCUCUCAAGCGGGGAGAGUAUUGACUUCGAUGAGGGUCUCGGGGAAUCCCCGAGUAUUUGGUCAAUGCAACCAUCAUCCCUCCUUGAAUCACGCUCAUCCCCAUCUGCUUCGGCAAGCCCAACGGAUUCCCUGCUGAGUGGUGUUCCCCAGCAGAAGCGUGAGUGUCUCAUGUGUGGCGAUAAGGAAGUUACGGGAGCCCUCGUACCGUGUGGGCACAAUAUGUUCUGCCUCGAGUGCGCCAAUCGUAUUUGUGCCCCCGGGGAUGCCCUCUGCCCCGUUUGUAGUCAGGUUGUGAGUCAGGCCAUUCGGAUUAUUGCCUAAAAAGGAAGCAAAAAAAUUAAAUUUGGGGUGCGCCACACAGCCUAAAGAGCCCCCAAAGAAUGUGGUUUCAGCCGAUCUCUCUCUAUCUCUAUUUUUUGGGACAAAGCUAAUCUCUCUCUGGAAGAUUUGAUGCUUACUCCCCAAAAAAUAAAAAAAAAAUGAAAAUCCGGACAACGAAUUCCCCAAACAGAAGAAAACAAAAUGGUCUGAUUCCCCAUCCCCUUAAAAAAAAUCCCCGAAGGACGCAAUCAAAGGUUCCACCGUAGGAUCGUACGUACACUACGAAAACCUUCUGACUUUGAGAGAUUAAAAGAAAGUAAAAAAAAAAUGGAGGAAAACAGGGAUUAUCAGUUCACGCGGAUAAAAUGCAAAAAUAAAAAAAUCCUGUGGACGUAAUGCAAAUUAUUUAAGAAAAAAAAUGACAAAAAAUUGAUUAAAUAAAUUCAAUGGGGCUGUGAAAAAAAAUAAAUUUGCAAACUAAUUAAAAGAAAAAUUACUGCCACUUCCCGAAAUGCAAAAGAGAAUAAAAUUUCCUUUUGUUGGUUAAUUCCCAUCUCUAGAAACAUCAUCACAGGAGCAGAAGACAUUCAUUCCAUCUCAUACGCCAUUCUUUUUUAUUUAUCACAUUGCAUCGUCACUCUCUGUAUCGCGGAGAAGCAUAAUCGUGUAGGAGGCAUAAACACAUUAAUGUCGGGGGUAUGAAGCAUAUGCAUUUUGCACUUGUAGAGACACUACACGCAUUUUCUCAUUGGCCUCAAGAUUCGAACGAUUCAUAAUUAGUGCGUGGACACAUAAAAGACGUUAGAAUAUAUUUUUUUUAUUUUUAAUAAUUUUCUUAGCCCUAUUAUUAUUAUUUUUUUUUCAAUUUGAAAAUCGUUCAUUUUUUUUUCUUGACAUAGAGUGCCAGUACAGUGAGAUAUAUAUUAUAGAUGUAAUAUCAUUAAAGAAAGAAAAGAAAAAACGUAAAUUUUAAGCAUAAGAAUAUAAGGAAGAAAAUUAUAUCAAGAGAAAAAGGAUAUAUGUUUUUAUUAUUGCCAGAUGUAUUUAAUAAAUAUAAAUGAAAAAGUAAAAGAGAAAUGAAGAAUGCAAAAUAUUAAAGAAAAAAUAAAACGAAUUUGUUAAGUUCUCGUCAAACUCUCACAAAAUAUUUAAAUGAUUAAACAUAAGUUUUUAUUGACACAGCAAUUUGCAGCAAAAAAAAAAGAAUUUUUGAAAAGACUCUCUUUAUUAUAAAAUACAAGUUUUUUAGUAUUAAUUUUUUAUUUUAUCAAUUUAUUUUUAUUGAAGUUUGUUCGGAUUUUGUUAAAUCCAUUUCUUGAGUAUAAAUUUUAUUUUUGUCUCGCAUUUUUUUUCUAAGUACCUAUCGUUUAAUUAAAAAAAAAACAAAAUAAUUAAAUAAUAUAUCAGCACGUAUCCUAGAGUUUUGCGUAGAAAAAGAAAUUUAUAUAUUGAUGAAUUUAAAAAUUAAAUUAUUUCAAAGAUUAUUCACAAAUUAAACUUAAAAAAAUAAACAUAAAAUGAAGAAUUAUUUAAAAGAGAAAAAAAACUUAGAGAUAUAUUGAAUUUAAAUUGUUAAAUAAAUUAUUUUCUAUUUGUUUUUUUGUGAAGAAGAAAAAAAGAAAUAAUAUAUUAUUUUUCCAUUGCCUUUUUUAUAGUCUAUUGCGCAAACAAUUUAUCAUUAAAUACAUUAUAAGAUUAUAUAUGUAAUAUAUUAUUAAAAUAUAUUUUUAUUUUUAUUUUUUGCCCAAUCCCAGUAUUAAGUUGAACGUACUCGAAAACAAAAUAAAAAACAAGAAUUUAUAAAUAAGAAAAUUUAUCAAAGGGUUGUUUUGGGGAGGAUUUUUCUUCUGAGCAUUGAAGUUUGCAGAAUUUCUGAAAAAUUAUUCAAAUAAUAGAUUUUUCAGGACCUAAUUGGUUUUUUUUAAUUUAAAAUUAUGUAGAUUUUUUAACCCUUCUACAACUCUCUUACAAUUUAAAGAAUUAUUAAACAUUAGGUUAUAUACUGCGUCAAAGAAAUCUUUUAAAUACCAAGAAUUCGUAGUCCCGAAAGGGUUAAAAAAAAGCCAAUCAUUUAUUUCUGUUUAAAAAUUCUGCAUUCUAAAAAUGUUUAAAGAAUCAAAAACUCUUCACAACAAUUCAACUUUUAAGCGACUUUCUGUGACCUAAAUUAUUAUUAAUUAUUAUUAUUAUUUUCUGUAUUCUAAAUUGAAAAGAAUAAUCCUCCGUUGAUUCAAAACCAAUGUUUUCUUUAACAUUAAAAAAUAAAUGAAUAAUUUUCCGAAAUGGAACCAAAAAAAAUGAAGUGAAAAACAAUUGAUUAAAAAAAAUUAUUUAAAAAGAAAAAGAAAUUGCAAAGAAAAUUAGAGAAUGGAUAAAUAGUCAAAGAAAAGUCAGCAAGUUUGAAAGCAAAAAUUUAUAUUUAAAGAACAAAAAAAAAUGUAUUUAAAUAUUACAAAAGAAAUAUAUUUAAAAAUGAAAUGAUUGAGAUGAAAAUAAUGAGAUAAUGAGGUUGUGACAUUCUGUUGUGUUGGUCUCAUUAGGUAAGCAUGAUAAAAGGAUAAAAUCAUAAAUAGCAUUGUGCAUAAAGGUAGCAGGGAUGGAGCAUUUACAAGUAAAACAAAAGAAUCAUUUAAAAAGAGAGAAAAACAAGGCUAAAACUUAAGGAUUCUUCUCCUUAAAGUAAAACCCCUGAAAAAUCCUUUGAGAAAAUGAAAAGAUUUUCAAACACCAUCACUGCUAUCUUGCGCUGAAAAAAAUCCAUUUUGCAAAUGACUUUCAAAAGAAUAUUAAAUGUGAAGAGAAAUAAAAACAGAAAUAUAACUUUCAAACAUUAAAUAUAGAAGAGAAAAAUAUAAAUUUUAUAACAAGAAGAAAAUGAGAUUUUUACAUUCUAAUCGAAUUGCAUGGAUUUGUCUUUUAAUCAUUACAUCACAGAAUUAUAAGAAAAACUAAACUUCUCUUAAUCAUUAAUACAUUUAUACUUCGACUUUAUCUAAUGGGGAUCAGCUUAGAAUGAGCGGAAAUUAAGUAAUAUGUGUAUAUCCGUCAGAUCCUAAAGAGAUGAUUUUUCUUUCAAAAUAAAAAUAAAACUCAAUGAAAAAUCAUCUCAAAAGAGAUUUGAAAGAAGAAAAAAAAGUGAACAAAAAUGCAACAUUUUGACUUAAAAUAAAUUGCCCGCAAAAAAGAAGAAAAAUUUGUGUAGUCCUUAGAUAAAGAAAAAAACAACACCAAAAGAUAUAGAUGAGAAACAAGUGAAUAAAAUAUUAACUAUAUGAAUAAAAAAAAAAGAAAUUAGAAAAUAAAAAGCGAUGUAAAUAGAGAGAUAAAAUGAAAUAAAAAAAAGCAAAAAGACUUCUUGACUGACUGAUUUCGCGGUAGUUAGAAACGUAAAACAAUAUUUAUAUACCUAAAUGAAGAAAUAAAUGAUAAAAAAUAUAAAAUAUAAAAAAUAGAUAAACGUUAAAGAGAUAAAAGGAUGAAAGGAAAAAAAAGUAACUUAAUCCGACACAAGGAGAUAAAAAAAAUGAGAUUCUAUAUAGCAAGAUCGUAAAAUAUAGAUAAAAUAAAAGGAGAAGAAAUAACAUUAAGAAAAUGAACUAAAAAAAUAUUAGAGAGAAAAUAAAAAUAUAUAUUAUAUUAUAAAGAUGAUCUAACAUUUAUAGAGUGAAGAAAAAGAAGGGAGAUAAAUGAAGAAAAUCUAUAGCAUAAACAAUAUUAAAAAAAUAAUCUUACCAAAAUAUAUAUUAUAUAUUAUAUUAAUAUUUUAAAUAUUAUAUUAAAAAAAAACAUAAACUUAUACAUUUAAACAGAAAAAAAAUCACUAUGAAGAAAUAUUAUAUAAAUGAAAUAUAUUAUGAUAGAGCAGAUUAUAUAAGACAAAAAAAACUUAUAAACUAGAGAAAUGAUAAAAAAAGAAUAUUUUUAUUGUCUUCCGAGAAGAGACACGAGUCACAAGAUUUAAAAGAAAAAUUAAAUUGAUAAAGUAAUUUAAAGUAAAAAGGAAAAGAAAAAAGAUAAAUAAAAUAUAACUUAGGACACAUUCAUUGGCACUUCGUGGUUGUGAAAAUUGGCGGCAUUUCUCUUAAAAAAAAAACCUUCAAACCAAGAUAAACAAUGCAUUAAUACUAAAAAAAAACAAGCGUUGCCCCCAUUGAGAAUUAAAAAAAAAUCAUUGAGCACCGGAUUUUUUAGAAAUCUAUUUAAAGGAGUCUACCGGCUCUCUAUGCAAAAACUUCCUUAUUCAUAAAAAAAUUUAACCCAUUUUGUCUUUAACAGAACCAAAAACUAUUAAGAAAUCGCUAAAGAAACUCCCCAAUUUCCUCUAGGAUCACAUAGAGAAUAGACGACAAAGAUUGCCAAAAACAUUGCGAAGCCAUUUGCAAUUUUUUUUAUCCCUUUAAAAGUUUGUGAAUGAGGGGUUUUUUUCUAUAUGUGUAGAGCCGAUAAUCUCCUUUAAUAAUUAUUGGACAACCCUAAUAUUCCUCUCAAUCUAAGAUUUAUCAAGAAAUCGAUAUAAUAAUUUCUUUUCCCUCAAAGAUUUAAAGAAAGACUAAAAAUAUUUUAUUUCCCAACAAGGUAAAGCAAGACUGUUAAAUAAAAUGGGUGAAGGGUGGAUAAGUUCUAUAAAUGAAUGACCUUUGACCACGUUGGGAAAUUCAAUAUUCUUUAACCUUUUCCUACAACUUUUCAUGGGGUCAUGGUGGGUCAGUCUGCUGGCGCUCUGAACUGAUCAUACCCAAACCGUGACGAAGCGGGUUCGAUUCCCAGCUGGGUAGAAAUCAUCAUCUACCUUUCCCUGGCCUAGCGUUUCCUACACCGAAUUUCCUUUCCAUUCCCUCCCCUUUCAAACAAAAUAAUCAUACAAUGCAAAACAGAAGUCAUUUACUCAAAAUGUCUAAAAGUAUUAAUUCAAAACAUAAACGUUAACUUCAGUCAAAAAGUUUUAACAAAUAACAGUCCUGUUAAAUUCCUAACCCCUCCCCUUUCCUAAUCUGGCUGAUGUACUGUUUCAAGAAUCAAAGUAACAUUAACAAAAUUUCAAGCAGAAUCUUUUCAGACAAAUAAUUUCAAAAUGUUCAAAAUAUUCAAUUACAACUGACAGUUAAAUUUAAACUAAAUUUGAGGUUAUGAUGGGAAUAUUGAGGGGGGCAAAAUCAAUAAUAUAAGCCGGGGAAAAAAACAAAUUACGAUCUUUAAAAAAAAAUCAGCCCGAUAUUGACAUAAACUAAUGAUGCUUGUUUGUAUUGACGUUUUCCAUCUACCAUCAGUCAAGGCAUCACAUUUCUAACAUCAGAAUUUACAAUUGGAUGCGCAAAAUGUGACAAAGUGAAAUUAACAUCAAAAUUGCAAAUAACAUCCUGCAAAAACAAGUGAAAUUAACAUCUAGAGUACAAAUAACAUCGUACUAAAAAAAAUCUUUAUAAGUAUAUUUUAAGGCAAAUUUAAUCCUUAUACCUGUGAAGCUUACAUACAUGUUUCUGAAGUAUUGUGAACAUAAGGGCGUACAGUGUUCCGUUUCAAUGAUGAAGUAUUCAGACCCAUUUUUCAGACUAUCACAAAACAUAAUCUCAAAUCGGACUUUCAUUAGUUUUUCUUUCACCUAUUACAUAGAUUAUAUAAACUUUUAUUAACUUUUUGUAGUUCCAAGGGAAAAUACCCGCUAAAAUGACACAUGCAUAAAUAAAAAAAAUAAUAUGUUAAAGGAAGACUAAGGAAGGUCUGUUUAGGGGUUUCCCUCCAAAAAAUAUAACCUCAAAUUUGGUUUGUUUAAAGUUUAGUCUUUUUGAAAGUUUUCAUACCCUUUACCGAGUAAUUUUUGGUUGAGAAACUCUUUUUACAAUUCAUUCAAACGAAUCGAAUAGUUUUUGGGUCGUAGUAUUCGAUUAAUUAUCAUCCCCUUGCAAAUGAAAUAAAAUCAAUAUUAUUUCUGAUUAAUUCCCAAUCAAACUCACGGUCCAUUUGCAAAUUAUUUCCAUUGAAAUUUUCAUUUAAUUUCCCAUGUGAAUGAAAUUAAUUUUUAUGAAGUUUUAUGCAGAAAAUUAUGCAAAAACUUUCAAGAGAAAAAUUGAAAAAUUUUUAUAAAUAAAAAAUGAAACUUUAGAAAUUUUUUUAUAUUUUAUUCCACGAAUAUCCUUGGAGCUCAAUUGAAAAUAAAAUAGUGGGUGGUGGGCAAUGCCUGUUUGGGGAGGAAUUUUCUUUCAAAGCAAUUGCGACAAUCUCAUCAAUCUAAAAGGGGCUUGAAUUACAUCUUCAAAAUAAAAAUAAUUUCUCCUUAGCAAAUAAAAUAACUGAAAAAACCACCUUCACACCUUAAAAUAAAAAAAAAGCCAACCUCUCAAGAAAAUAAAGAAAUUCAAAAGGAAAAAGAAA